UGGGGAAUAUUGCACAAUGGGGGGGAACCCUGAUGCAGCGACGCCGCGUGAGGGAAGAAGGUUUUCGGAUUGUAAACCUCUGUCCUCUGUGACGAUAAUGACGGUAGCAGAGGAGGAAGCCACGGCUAACUACGUGCC
rnacentral:rRNA from 1 species